rnacentral:rRNA from 1 species
CUCGUAGGCGGUUCAACAAGUCGGUCGUGAAAGCCCGGGGCUCAACUCCGGGAUGCCGGUCGAAACUGUUGUGACUUGAGUUCGGUAGAGGUGAGUGGAAUUCUCGGUGUAGCGGUGGAAUGCGCAGAUAUCGAGAGGAACACCAUUAGCGAAGGCGGCUCACUGGGCCGAUACUGACGCUGAGGAGCGAAAGCGUGGGGAGCAAACA